rnacentral:rRNA from 1 species
UACGAAGGGGGCUAGCGUUGUUCGGAAUUACUGGGCGUAAAGCGCACGUAGGCGGAUACUUAAGUCAGGGGUGAAAUCCCGGGGCUCAACCCCGGAACUGCCUUUGAUACUGGGUAUCUGGAGUCCGGAAGAGGUGAGUGGAAUUCCGAGUGUAGAGGUGAAAUUCGUAGAUAUUCGGAGGAACACCAGUGGCGAAGGCGGCUCACUGGUCCGGUACUGACGCUGAGGUGCGAAAGCGUGGGGAGCAAACAG